UCAGUCAGCGCAGCGUAAUAAUAGAAACUAACCAGGAUUCCCUUAGUAACGGCGAGUGAACUGGGAUGCCAAUAUAUAAUAUGUACCUCAUGUGCAUAAAUUAGCCCGUCGAUACUAUCCUAGCGUAUGUCACCGGUCUUCGGGUCGGUACUCAAAUACGCGGGAAUUGUAGCAUCGUAAUAAUUAAAAAUAUACAGCACACACACACACACACACACAUAAGAACCCACGCCAACCUGCGUACAACUUGUAAACACACAGCGUCUCCGCGUUGGAAAGCAAGUAUAUAUCCUCUUUGGAUAUGCCAUAGAGUGUGACAGCCACGUUUCACCCAUAUGAGUACGCACACACAUAUAUCAAUGGCGCGGCGUGCGAGUGCACAACGUAUAUAUACUAUAACCUGAGUCGAGUUAUUUGGGACUAUAGCUCUAAUAGUUUGGUUGGUGGUAAUGACACAUCAAAGGCUAAAUAUUGGUUAGUCGAUGCAUAUUGCGGAGACCGAUAGCAUACAAGUACCGUAAGGGAACGAUGAAAAGCACCCUAUUGAGUUCACGGCGCAGACUCGACAUUCGUGUCUUGUCCAGCGCCCGACAACUACAGUGGGAGUGAAAGAGAGAGU
rnacentral:rRNA from 1 species